rnacentral:rRNA from 1 species
UACGUAGGGGGCUAGCGUUGUCCGGAAUCAUUGGGCGUAAAGAGCGUGUAGGCGGCCUGGUAAGUCCGCUGUAAAAGUCAAAGGCUCAACCUUUGAAUGUCAGUGGAUACUGCCGGGCUAGAGUCCGGAAGAGGCGAGUGGAACUCCUGGUGUAGCGGUGGAAUGCGCAGAUAUCAGGAGGAACACCGGUGGCGAAGGCGGGUCUCUGGGCCAUUACUGACGCUGAGGAGCGAAAGCGUGGGGAGCGAACAGG